rnacentral:rRNA from 1 species
AUUGAACGCUGGCGGCAUGCUUUACACAUGCAAGUCGGACGGCAGCAUAAAAGAGCUUGCUCUUUUGAUGGCGAGUGGCGAACGGGUGAGUAAUGCAUCGGAACGUACCGAGUAGUGGGGGAUAACUGUCCGAAAGGAUGGCUAAUACCGCAUAUUCUCUGAGGAGGAAAGCAGGGGACCUUAGGGCCUUGCGCUAUUUGAGCGGCCGAUGUCUGAUUAGCUAGUUGGUGGGGUAAGAGCCCACCAAGGCGACGAUCAGUAGCGGGUCUGAGAGGAUGAUCCGCCACACUGGGACUGAGACACGGCCCAGACUCCUACGGGAGGCAGCAGUGGGGAAUUUUGGACAAUGGGCGCAAGCCUGAUCCAGCCAUGCCGCGUGUAUGAAGAAGGCCUUCGGGUUGUAAAGUACUUUUGUCAGGGAAGAAAAGCCUGAGGAUAACACCCUCAGGUCAUGACGGUACCUGAAGAAUAAGCACCGGCUAACUACGUGCCAGCAGCCGCGGUAAUACGUAGGGUGCGAGCGUUAAUCGGAAUUACUGGGCGUAAAGCGAGCGCAGACGGUUAUUUAAGCAAGAUGUGAAAGCCCCGGGCUCAACCUGGGAACUGCGUUUUGAACUGGGUAACUAGAGUGUGUCAGAGGGGGGUAGAAUUCCACGUGUAGCAGUGAAAUGCGUAGAGAUGUGGAGGAAUACCGAUGGCGAAGGCAGCCCCCUGGGAUAACACUGACGUUCAUGCCCGAAAGCGUGGGUAGCAAACAGG